AAUAACCUCAUUUUUUGUUUUUCCGUGUCAACCAUUUGACCAUUCGUUUUAUUUAUAAUGUUUUUUGCGAUUAAUAUUUUUAUUCUUACUAGAUGAUAAAACAUGAAUAGUACUUUAUACGUGACUAAUUUUUUUAAAGUUUUUUACAUAUUUUUCAAAUAAGACGAAUGGUCAAACGUUGGACACGGAGAACAAAAAAUAAGGUUAUU
rfam:Oryza brachyantha chromosome 3, whole genome shotgun sequence.